GACGAACGCUGGCGGCGUGCCUAAUACAUGCAAGUCGAACGCAGUGGGGACGGGGGAGUAACACGUGGGUAACCUCCCAUCAGAGGGGAUAACACUUGGAAACAGGUGCUAAACCGACACUGAUGGAUGGACCCGAGGUGCAUUAGCUAGUGGGUGAGGUAACGGCGCACCAAGGCCAAGAUGCAUAACCGACCUGAGAGGGUGAGCGGCCACACUGGGACUGAGAAACUGCCCAGACUCCGACGGGAGGCAGCAGUAGGGAAUAUUCGGCAAUGGACGAAAGUCUGACCGAGCAACGCCGCGUGAGUGAAGAAGGUUUUCGGAUCGUAAACCUCUGUUGUUAGAGAAGCGUUAUCUAACCAGAAAGCCACGGCUAACUACGUGCCAGCAGCCGCGGUAAUUC
rnacentral:rRNA from 1 species